GAAUCGGGAGGGGAAUUUUCAGUUUUUAAGCAAAUAUCGUAGUUUGACAUGGCUAAUGCUGUCCUCUUAUGCUCAAACAUUAUAACAAAAUCAAUGGGGGCCUGACUGUCUACAUAUCUUUUCUACAACAGCGCUAUUGCGCAAAAUAAUAUGCAGCAUCAUCUGGAUAUGUAUGUAACAAAAGUUCAACAUUCAACUUCUGCUUUCAUUUCUGUCAAGCCGUCUACGCAUACAAUUUGACGCAUAAAUUCGAUAAAUUCAAGUAUCCAAUUGUUAGUAGUUACUGUCUUGUCUCAUCGCUACAUCUCCCGUACGGGCUCGGGAGAGACGAAGGUCGAGAGUCAUGUGUCCUCCGAAACACAACCCAACCAAGCCGCACUGCUUCUUAACACAGCGAUGAGACAAGGAUAUCCCUAUCGGCCUAACCCGGACGACGCUAGGCCAAUUGUGCGUCACCCCAUGGAUCUCCUGGUCGCGGCCGUCUGCGACAGAGCCUGGGCUCGAACCCAGAGUCUUAGACCACUGCGUCACCCGGGAGGCAAAAAAUAAUAAUAAUAUAUAUAUAUACUUUAAGGAAAAUGUUUGCAAUUAUUUGUUUCAUUUUUAUGUUUAGCUCACAUAUAUACUGAAUAAAAAUAUAAACGCAACAUGCAACAAUUUAAUGGAAUUGUUGCAUGUUGCGUUUAAGGAAAUCAGUCAAUAAAUAAAUUAGGCCCUAAUCUAUGGACUUCACGACUGAGAAUAGACAUCUGUUGGUCACAGAUACAGUUGAAGUCGGAAGUUUACAUACACUUAGGUUGGAGUCAUUAAAACUUGCUUUUCAACCACUCCACAAAUUUCUUGUUAACAAACUAUAGUUUUGGAAAAUCGCUGGCUAAAAUCCCGUGGCUUCCACUCAAACUCAAAUCAAUCUAAUUAUGACAAAAGUCUUCCUACUAAUUAUUUGCCUCCUUUUGCAUUCUAUUUCCAAGCCACUGUAAUGCACUUUUAAUGAAAUCAGUGCUCAUUGACAUUGCAUUGUGUCACGCCUGCUCCCGCUCCUCUCUGGCGUUCGAGGGCACCUGGCUGCCCAUCAUUUUUUUUUUUUUUUUUUUUUUAAUUUUUUUUUAUUAAACAACAAAUCAAUACAUAAAGCACAUGAGGGAACACAAGCAUACAUAGAUUACAAACAAUGGACAAUCGAGCUAGGGGGUACAAUUUCACAUUACAAUUACACAAGGACCUUAAGGGACAUGCAUAUACUUACAAUUCUAACAGCUUUUUUGUUAGUAGAGCAUUUAACCGUCUUAAAAUACAGUUCAAUUUCUUUUUGUAGGAUACGAAAAUGUGGUUUUCUGUUUGUAAAUUUACAUUUGUGUAUAUGAAAUUUGGCCAAAAGAAUAAUGAAAUUAAUUACAUAAAAAUGAUUCCGCUUAUUUCUAUUGUAUGUAAAGAAUCCAAACAGUACAUCUCUCCACAAUAGUGUAAAAUCUUCAUAAAUGUGUUCAAUUAUAAACCUACUGAUGUCUUGCCACAGUUUUCUUACAUGCAUACAAUGCCAAAAAAGAUGCACAACUGUUUCUGGGUGGUCAUUACAAAAGGAGCAAUUUGAGUUGAUGUUUUCCUUAAACUUCUUCAUAUAGUGGUUGGCAGGAUAGUAUUUAUGAAUAAUUUUAAAGGAAACUUCCUUAAUUUUGUUAACAAGUAGGUAUGUUUGUGGCAACAUCCAAACUUUUUUCCAACAGAUAUUAUCAAUAAAUCCAUUCCAGUAAGGCAUGACAUAAGGUAUAGAUACAACAUCCUGCUGAAACAAGGAUCGUAUCGCUCUGUUGUUGAAUGGACCAAAAGAGAAACAAAUCUUUCCUACUGAUGAGUCAACAGGGUCAAUAGAAGGUAGGCUCUGAGGGUCAGGUCUUGACAUGUUCCUGAAUAACAUAGCAACACCUGAGGGAAUGGCAUCUAAAACAAUUGCAAAAUCUUUAGGUGUUACAGGGACCUUGUAAAGUGAUAAGAAUUCUUUAUAACUGAGUAAAAGACCCUCUGCAUUUACCAGUUGGCUCACCAAUAGGAUAUUAUUUCUGAACCAAUAUUCUAAAAACAGAGGUAUUUUUAUACAAUAUAUCCCGAUUAUUCCAUAUAUAAUAUCUGUGUGGAGAAAAAUUGUGUUUAUAAAUUAAGGACCAUGACAAGAAAACCUGCCGAUGAAAAGCAGAAAGUUUCACUGGAACUUUGUCAAUAUUAUAAUUGCAAAACAACAUGAAGUUAAGGCCACCAAAAGUAGAGAAGACAUGAUGAGGAAUACAAUUCCAGAUAGAAGUGGGUCUUCUUAGGAAUUGUUUUAUCCAAUUGAUCUUGAAAGUAUUAUUUAAAGUAGUAAAAUCCAGAAAAUUCAGUCCACCAUUCUCAUAAGUGUUCAUUACAACAGUUUUCCUAAUGUAAUGGGUACGGUUUCUCCAAAGAAAGUUGAAAAGCAUCUGGUCUAUCUCCUUGCUUAUUUUACGGUCAAGAUAUAAAGAUAGAGCACCAUAUGUUAGUCUAGAGAUACCUUCAGCCUUGGUUAUUAGGACUCUACCUUUUAAAGAUAAGUCCCUCUGUAGCCAUUGAUUUAGUUUCUUCUGGGUUUUUUUAAUAAGAGGGUUAAAAUUUAGUAAGCCUCUAGACUUCUGAUCCUUUGUAAUGGUUAUGCCUAAAUAUGUAAGUUCUUCUUUUACUGGAAUACCAUAAUAUGAAGGUGUCACACAAUCUUUGACAGCCAUGAGUUCACAUUUCUUAAUGUUAAGAUAUAGACCAGACGCUUUGGAAAAGGAUUGUAAUCACAUUGAUCGAUAUGGGAAUUUGGUUAGCAUCUUUCAGAAAAAGUGUAGUAUCGUCAGCCAGCUGGCUUAUAAUAAUUUCUUUACCAGCUAUGGAAAUACCUUGUACAGGACUAUUAUUUAAAGAAUUUGCAAGAAGUUGGGUGAUUAAUAAAAACAGGUACGGAGAGAUAGGACAACCUUGCCUAAUUCCUCUCUUUAACUCAAAUCUAGGUGAGGUGCCAUAUUUCAAUUUGAUAGAGCUGUUACCAUUUGCAUAGAGAGUCUUAAUAGCCUUACAGAAAAAAUCCCCAAAGCCAAGUCUCUCAAGGGAGUGGAAGAGAAACUGAUGCUCUACUGUGUCAAAUGCUUUAUAAAAAUCUAAAAAUAAUAUGAAGCUAUCCUCAGUUAUUAGGUCUGAGUAGUCAAGUACGUCUAAUACUAGUCUGACAUUGUUAGAAAUAUGUCUGUUCCUCAUGAAGCCAGACUGUGUUUCAUCAAUGAUUGCAUCCAAAACUUCUUUAAUUCUUUUUGCAAGUAGUGAGGCUAAUAUCUUAUAGUCAUUAUUAAGAAGACAAAUUGGACGCCAGUUAUCGAUGAGCAGCACUUCUUUUUAGGCUUAGGUAUCAGUGUUAUUAACCCCUGACUCAUUGUAGGAGGGAGAACAUUGUUUUUAAUACUCUCUAAAAAGACUUGGAAUAGGAAGGGAGCUACUUGUUCAGAAAAUAAUUUGUAAAAUUCUGAUGUAAUUCCAUCAACACCUGGUGAUUUAUUGUUCUUUAGAUGUUUGAUAGACUCUAUAAUCUCUUCAACUUUGAUGGGUUCAUCACACUGUUUAGAUUCUAUAUCACUGAUAGAGUGAACAUUAUUCAGUGAGUUAAAAAACAUAUCUGUGGAUUCCUGACAGUACGUAGAGCUAUACAAUUUUCUGUAAAAAUUGCUGCAGUAUUUAGCGAUUAAUUUUUGGUCAUCUGUAAUAACACCAUCAAUGUUUAACUUAUGGAUAGUGUUAUUUUUAGAGUGAAAUUUCUCAAGUCUAAAGAAAUAGGAUGAAUUCUGUUCUCCCUCCUCAAUCCAUUUUUUCCUAGAUCUAAUAAAGGCUCCUUCUGCUUUUAA